AUUGAACGCUGGCGGCAGGCCUAACACAUGCAAGUCGAGCGGAUGACGGGAGCUUGCUCCUUGAUUCAGCGGCGGACGGGUGAGUAAUGCCUAGGAAUCUGCCUGGUAGUGGGGGACAACGUUUCGAAAGGAACGCUAAUACCGCAUACGUCCUACGGGAGAAAGCAGGGGACCUUCGGGCCUUGCGCUAUCAGAUGAGCCUAGGUCGGAUUAGCUAGUUGGUGGGGUAAUGGCUCACCAAGGCGACGAUCCGUAACUGGUCUGAGAGGAUGAUCAGUCACACUGGAACUGAGACACGGUCCAGACUCCUACGGGAGGCAGCAGUGGGGAAUAUUGGACAAUGGGCGAAAGCCUGAUCCAGCCAUGCCGCGUGUGUGUAGAAGGUCUUCGGAUUGUAAAGCACUUUAAGUUGGGAGGAAGGGCAGUAAGCUAAUACCUUGCAGUUUUGACGUUACCGACAGAAUAAGCACCGGCUAACUCUGUGCCAGCAGCCGCAGUAA
rnacentral:rRNA from 1 species